rnacentral:rRNA from 1 species
CAUGCAAGUCGAACGGUAACAGGAAGCAGCUUGCUGCUUUGCUGACGAGUGGCGUUUUNGGUGAGUAAUGUCUGGGAAACUGCCCGAUGGAGGGGGAUAACUACUGGAAACGGUAGCUAAUACCGCAUAAUGUCGCAAGACCAAAGAGGGGGACCUUCGGGCCUCUUGCCAUCGGAUGUGCCCAGAUGGGAUUAGCUAGUUGGUGAGGUAACGGCUCACCAAGGCGACGAUCCCUAGCUGGUCUGAGAGGAUGACCAGCCACACUGGAACUGAGACACGGUCCAGACUCCUACGGGAGGCAGCAGUGGGGAAUAUUGCACAAUGGGCGCAAGCCUGAUGCAGCCAUGCCGCGUGUAUGAAGAAGGCCUUCGGGUUGUAAAGUACUUUCAGCGGGGAGGAAGGGGUUAAGGUUAAUAACCUUAGCCAUUGACGUUACCCGCAGAAGAAGCACCGGCUAACUCCGUGCCAGCAGCCGCGGUAAUACGGAGGGUGCAAGCGUUAAUCGGAAUUACUGGGCGUAAAGCGCACGCAGGCGGUCUGUCAAGUCGGAUGGUGAAAUCCCCGGGCUCAACCUGGGAACUGCAUUCGAAACUGGCAGGCUUGAGUCUCGUAGAGGGGGGUAGAAUUCCAGGUGUAGCGGUGAAAUGCGUAGAGAUCUGGAGGAAUACCGGUGGCGAAGGCGGCCCCCUGGACGAAGACUGACGCUCAGGUGCGAAAGCGUGGGGAGCAAACAGGAUUAGAUACCCUGGUAGUCCACGCUGUAAACGAUGUCGAUUUAGAGGUUGUGGUCUUGAACCGUGGCUUCUGGAGCUAACGCGUUAAAUCGAUCGCCUGGGGAGUACGGCCGCAAGGUUAAAACUCAAAUGAAUUGACGGGGGCCCGCACAAGCGGUGGAGCAUGUGGUUUAAUUCGAUGCAACGCGAAAAACCUUACCUACUCUUGACAUCCAGCGAAUCCUUUAAAGAUAAAGAAGUGCCUUCGGGAACGCUGAGACAGGUGCUGCAUGGCUGUCGUCAGCUCGUGUUGUGAAAUGUUGGGUUAAGUCCCGCAACGAGCGCAACCCUUAUCCUUUGUUGCCAGCACNUGUAUGGUGGGAACUCAAAGGAGACUGCCGGUGGUAAACCGGAGGAAGGUGGGGAUGACGUCAAGUCAUCAUGGCCCUUACGAGUAGGGCUACACACGUGCUACAAUGGCAGAUACAAAGAGAAGCGACCUCGCGAGAGCAAGCUGGAACUCAUAAAGUCUGUCGUAGUCCGGAUUGGAGUCUGCAACUCGACUCCAUGAAGUCGGAAUCGCUAGUAAUCGUAGAUCAGAAUGCUACGGUGAAUACGUUCCCGGGCCUUGUACACACCGCCCGUCACACCAUGGGAGUGGGUUGCAAAAGAAGUAGGUAGCUUAACCUUCGGGAGGGCGCUUACCACUUUGUGAUUCAUGACUGGGGUGAAGUCGUAACAAGGUAACC